UACGGAGGGUGCAAGCGUUAUCCGGAUUCACUGGGUUUAAAGGGUGCGUAGGAGGGCAGGUAAGUCAGUGGUGAAAUCUCCGGGCUUAACUCGGAAACUGCCGUUGAUACUAUCUGUCUUGAAUACCGUGGAGAUGAGCGGAAUAUGUCAUGUAGCGGUGAAAUGCUUAGAUAUGACAUAGAACACCGAUAGCGAAGGCAGCUUGCUACACAAUUAUUGACACUGAGGCACGAAAGCGUGGGGAUCAAACAGG
rnacentral:rRNA from 1 species